AUUGAACGCUGGCGGCAGGCCUAACACAUGCAAGUCGAACGAGUGGCGGACGGGUGAGUAAUGUCUGGGAAACUGCCUGAUGGAGGGGGAUAACUACUGGAAACGGUAGCUAAUACCGCAUACCAUCGGAUGUGCCCAGAUGGGAUUAGCUAGUAGGUGGGGUAAAGGCUCACCUAGGCGACGAUCCCUAGCUGGUCUGAGAGGAUGAUCGGCCACACUGUGACUGAGACACGGCCCAGACUCCUACGGGAGGCAGCAGUAGGGAAUCUUCGGCAAUGGGCGAAAGCCUGAUCCAGCCAUGCCGCGUGUGUGAAGAAGGUCUUCGGAUUGUAAAGCACUUUAAGUUGGGAGGCGUUACCAACAGAAUAAGCACCGGCUAACUUCGUGCCAGCAGCCGCGGUAAUUC
rnacentral:rRNA from 1 species